GAAAACUCGAGGCUUCAAUUGGGGAUAUACAAAAAAGGGCAAAAGUGGUCAAAGUGAAAUGCAAGCAACUAACCGAUUAAAAGUUGAAACCUAAUUUAGGUAGAUAAUCCCUAACAAACGCAAUAAAACAGAGAAACUUAUAAUAAAAAAAAUAACCCACUUGAUAUCAUUACACAACAAAACCACAAGUUGCU